rnacentral:ribozyme from 1 species
ACUGGACAGCGCCAGGAUAAACAGGCUUUAAGCGCUGAGCGUUGGCCGCUCUUAACCGGGUGGCCAGGUAGUA